UACGAAGGGGGCUAGCGUUGUUCGGAAUCACUGGGCGUAAAGCGCACGUAGGCGGACUGUUAAGUCAGGGGUGAAAUCCUGGGGCUCAACCCCAGAACUGCCUUUGAUACUGGCGGUCUUGAGUGUGGAAGAGGUUGGUGGAACUCCGAGUGUAGAGGUGAAAUUCGUAGAUAUUCGGAAGAACACCAGUGGCGAAGGCGGCUAACUGGUCCACUACUGACGCUGAGGUGCGAAAGCGUGGGGAGCAAACAGG
rnacentral:rRNA from 1 species